rnacentral:tRNA from 1 species
AAGGUGGCUGAGAAUAGGCGGUGGGUUGUAAUUCCAUUUAUGAGGAAAGUUCCUCUCUUUACA